UGUACCGCCGCCAUCUUGGAACAGGGUUCUAAUCAGGUAUCUGUUCAUUUACCAUUAUGGCCACGCCAGUCGGUGAUCACUUUGUAAAGUUGAAGGAUAUUUGUGCCGCUAUGCUUGCAGCAACGAGAGGACGAAAAACAGCCAAAGAAGGUGUAACAUGAGAUGGCCCAAAAGAAGGAGGAGGCGGGCAUGGGCUCUGGCUUUGAAGAGAGAGAGAGAGGUUUGUGCCAAAACAACGCUGAUCUGAUGCUGCCACUUACCUCCUGAGCAAACUGUUCGGCUGAGAGAGCCAUCAAUUUCAACUUCAACUUCCCCAAACACUUGUCCAAGCAGUUGGAGAACAGGCUGUGAACUGCUGAUAUCCUGCGUCCUUCAGCACAGUGAGCGCCAGUGCCACAGAUCAACGCAAUGUUUGAGCUGCCACAGACACCUUCAUCUUCUGGCCAUCGAAGUCAACAUGCCUUCUGAUCACCUUGUUUUUGCUGCAUGAAGACCCUCAGGAUCCUGAACAUUAUUCAGAUCAACAAUGUGUUGCCAUUUAACUGUUCCAAAGGGACUGAUGAUAGGACCGUAAGCCUUGAGCAUAUUUCUAGCUAAUUUCCUGAUCAGGUAGAUAUCUUCCCCUGAGGAAAGGUGGGUAAAUGAGGUCUUCAGAGGCUGUUCUUCUGGAUUUUACCAGAUAUGUUUCGACGGUAGGGUCACAGGGAUGUUGAUGUGUCAUGUGCUUUGAAAUGAGCUGAUGUUGUUAUGGAGGUGUG